UUUCGAAUUAUUCCCAAUGGGCGCAAGCCUGAGGGUGCAAUACCGCGUGGAGGAUGAAGGUCUUCGGAUUGUAAACUCCUGUCGUCAGGGACAAAACCUUUCAUUAUAAUACGAUGAGAGCUGAUUUAACUUGAAGAGGAAGAGGUGGCUAACUCUGUGCCAGCAGCCGCGGUGAUACAGAGACCUCAAGCGUUACUCGGAUUCACUGGGCGUAAAGGGUACGUAGGUGGCAUGGUGUGUUGGAUGUGAAAUUCCGGAGCUUAACUCCGGCGCUGCGUCCAAAACUAUCGUGCUAGAGUACUGUAGAGAAGAGCGGAAUAUCUAGUGUAGCGUUAAAAUGCGUAGAUAGUAGAAAGAACACCAACGGAGAAGGCAGCUCUUUGGGCAGUUACUGACACUGAGGUACGAAAGCGUGGGGAGCAAAAA
rnacentral:rRNA from 1 species